rnacentral:rRNA from 1 species
CUACGUGCCAGCAGCCGCGGUAAUACGUAGGUCCCGAGCGUUAUCCGGAUUUAUUGGGCGUAAAGCGAGCGCAGGCGGUUAGAUAAGUCUGAAGUUAAAGGCUGUGGCUUAACCAUAGUACGCUUUGGAAACUGUUUAACUUGAGUGCAGAAGGGGAGAGUGGAAUUCCAUGUGUAGCGGUGAAAUGCGUAGAUAUAUGGAGGAACACCGGUGGCGAAAGCGGCUCUCUGGUCUGUAACUGACGCUGAGGCUCGAAAGCGUGGGGAGCGAACAGGAUUAGAUACCCUGGUAGUCCACGCCGUAAACGAUGAGUGCUAGGUGUUAGGUCCUUUCCGGGACUUAGUGCCGCAGCUAACGCAUUAAGCACUCCGCCUGGGGAGUACGACCGCAAGGUUGAAACUCAAAGGAAUUGACGGGGGCCCGCACAAGCGGUGGAGCAUGUGGUUUAAUUCGAAGCAACGCGAAGAACCUUACCAGGUCUUGACAUCCCUCUGACCACUCUAGAGAUAGAGUUUCC